UACAGAGGUCCCAAGCGUUGUUCGGAUUUACUGGGCGUAAAGGGUGCGUAGGUGGCGAGGUAAGUUCGAUGUGAAAUCUCCGAGCUCAACUCGGAAAUGGCAUUGAAUACUAUCCCGCUUGAGGGUCGGAGGGGAGACUGGAAUUCUCGGUGUAGCAGUGAAAUGCGUAGAUAUCGAGAGGAACACCAGCGGCGAAGGCGAGUCUCUGGACGACUCCUGACACUGAGGCACGAAAGCUGGGGGAGCAAACAGG
rnacentral:rRNA from 1 species